rnacentral:rRNA from 1 species
GACGAACGCUGGCGGCGUGCUUAACACAUGCAAGUCGAACGAAGUGGCGAACGGGUGAGUAAUACGUGGGUAACCUGCCCUCCUUUUUGGGAUAAGCCUUGGAAACGGGGUCUAAUACCGAAUAAAGGGGGAUGGGGUCGCGGCCUAUCAGUUUGUUGGUGGGGUGAGGGCCUACCAAGGCGGUGACGGGUAGCCGGCCUGAGAGGGUGACCGGCCACAGUGGGACGGAGAAACGGCCCAGACUCCUAAGGGGGGGAGCAGUGGGGGAUAUUGGACAAUGGGCGAAAGCCUGAUGCAGCGACGCCGCGUGGGGGAUGAAGGCUUUCGGGUUGUAAAACUAUUGAGCUAUAGAAGGGGUAGGUGGAGAAGAAGCGCCGGCUAACUACGUGCCAGCCGCCGCGGUAAUAC